GAUGAACGCUGGCGGCGUGCCUAAUACAUGCAAGUCGAGCGAACAGACGAGGCGCUUGCUCCUCUGACGUUAGCGGCGGACGGGUGAGUAACACGUGGAUAACCUACCUAUAAGACUGGGAUAACUUCGGGAAACCGGAGCUAAUACCGGAUAAUAUAUUGAACCGCAUGGUUCAAUAGUGAAAGACGGUUUUGCUGUCACUUAUAGAUGGAUCCGCGCCGCAUUAGCUAGUUGGUAAGGUAACGGCUUACCAAGGCAACGAUGCGUAGCCGACCUGAGAGGGUGAUCGGCAACACUGGAACUGAGACACGGUCCAGACUCCUACGGGAGGCAGCAGUAGGGAAUCUUCCGCAAUGGGCGAAAGCCUGACGGAGCAACGCCGCGUGAGUGAUGAAGGUCUUCGGAUCGUAAAACUCUGUUAUUAGGGAAGAACAAAUGUGUAAGUAACUAUGCACGUCUUGACGGUACCUAAUCAGAAAGCCACGGCUAACUACGUG
rnacentral:rRNA from 1 species